rnacentral:rRNA from 1 species
GACGAACGCUGGCGGCGUGCUUAACACAUGCAAGUCGAACGGAAAGGCCCUGCUUUUGUGGGGUGCUCGAGUGGCGAACGGGUGAGUAACACGUGAGUAACCUGCCCUUGACUUUGGGAUAACUUCAGGAAACUGGGGCUCAUACCGGAUAGGAGCUCCUGCUGCAUGGUGGGGGUUGGAAAGUUUCGGCGGUUGUGGAUGGACUCGCGGCUUAUCAGCUUGUUGGUGGGGUAGUGGCUUACCAAGGCUUUGACGGGUAGCCGGCCUGAGAGGGUGACCGGCCACAUUGGGACUAAGAUACGGCCCAGACUCCAACGGGAGGCAGCAGUGGAGAGUAUGGCACAAUGGGCGGAAGCCUGAUGCAGCAACGCCGCGUGCGGGAUGACGGCCUUCGGGUUGUAAACCGCUUUCGCCUGUGACGAAGCGUGAGUGACGGUAAUGGGUAAAGAAGCACCGGCUAACUACGUG